CUCACGUCCUCUUGGUUUUAAGUCUUUGGAAAAUUCUUCUCCGUCGGGCAGACAAGAUCCUUCCUACAGACAGCAUUGCUGGCCAUCCACGACCCCCUGCUGCGUGUCAGCCAGGCUGGGCUGGUGCUCGUCUACUCCCUCCUGGGGGAAGCCCAGCAACUGAUGGGGGUCACGCACGAGGAUGUCACAGCCAAGGUCAUGGGCCAGCUUCACAUCAUCAGGCACUUGCACCAGAUGCCCGAGGCGCUGCAAGGGCUGUGGCUCGUCUGAUGCUCUUCAAGGUUCCCCUCCCUGUUCAGCAAGUCCCGCUCCCUGCUGCAGCUCCACUUCCCGCAGCAGGACAAACGGACCUUCAGCUCCUAGAGAACAGACUCUGACCUCCUUCUGAUCAGCAAUGGGGUUUCACCAUCCCCUCAGCAAACCUGUCAGCCGGGCUGGACCAGAUUUGAAGGAGGAGGGUAUCUAAGAGGGUGGCCUGGCCUAUUGCUGCCUAGCCUGGGGCUAGGCCAAAUUGAUGAUUAAGUGAGCCCCACCUGAGAGGAAACAAGGGGAAACAGCAGCAAAAGUCCAGAAGCAGAGUGAGCUGUUCAGUAGAUGGCCUUGGGCCAAACCCUGGAGUCCAGGGUAGGACUGGCUUCUCUCACCGUCCCUAAGGAAGGGGACAUAGAAGACCAUAGAAACCCAAGAAAGGCAGCCCGAACCGAAAUCAGGCUGAGGCAAAACUCCCCACGAGGGUGGUAGGGCUUGUUUCUGUUCAAGACAUUUUUGGACUUUGUUUGCAAGGAGCACGACCCAGGAAGGAGUGGAGUAAAGGCCAGUCACCUGGUUGGAGGGCUGAGUUCCCAGCCAAGAAACUGCAAGAGGUAGAAAACUUCUCUGUCGAAUCCGCUGAUUUGAUUGCUUCGUCUUCUGGUUUCAGACCCUCUGUUCUCCUUCUGGGCUGCCUGGACCCUGACUGUAACAUCUCUCUGGCCCAGCCUCUUACACAAAUGUGUGCUGCAGCCAGCCCAGCGCAGGGAGCAGUGGGGACAGAUGAUCUCAUCCUGUCAGACCAAGCAACAGGGGUCCCAUUGAGGCUUAGAUGGAAGAUCCCAGGCAUCUCCUGGAGAGGAUGCGCCCGGGACCCUAGAGACUGUUUUGUGCAGGAGGUUUGAGCGGGGAGAGAUCACUCACUGUCAUGACCCCUGGGUCAUUAACCCGGGUCUGCAGGGUUCCUGGGAGUAGCCACCCUCCAGCACGCCACCUGGAAGCCUAGGAAAAACUGCUUAGCUAGGACUGACGAAGUCCAGACCCAGUUUGAGGCUCCUAUUGGCAGAGUCCCAGAGCAGCUAAUCCGCCCCCGGGACCUCCUUAAACCAGCAGCAGGAAGAACAAGCUGUCUGAACACCCGAGCUGCUCCCCGGCUCUGGACCGUGUGUUGGCUGUUCCUGCUCCCACUCCCCAGGCUUGAUUUCCUGGCAUCCGGACUCGGGGUGACUCAUCUGACUUGAGGUGCUGAACACAAUUUGGUCUUUUGCUUCUGCUCUUCCAGUGCCCUGACCCAGCUGACUCUCGACUCCUGUCUCGUGAGUGUGGACUCUGCCUCUGACCACUAGGUCUGUCCGCCCAUGACCUGGCCAUGACACUGACUUUUCUACAUUCCUCCAGUGCCCUUUUCUGCUCUCCAGCUCUGCUCUCCCAGCAAGACACACGGAUCCCUUGGCUCCCAGAGUCCUGCUUGCCUGCUAGUCAAGGGCUCAGGGGGAGAGCUUGUCUUGCCCCCUCCCCCACCACAGCUGCUUUUCUUAGGGGACUCUCCCUAGCGCAGAAGAGAAUCCGUCCUGGCAGCAGUUCAGGAAGUCACAGAAGGGAUGGUCUGCUCAGCUCCCUCUGCAAUGCCACUGCCUGAGACCAUUACGAGUGGGUGCCCAGUGACUGCGCCGGCAGCUCCUUGAGAGACUGCUGGGGGCAGGGUAGUCGUGUUUCACGGUGAGCGCGGGAAGCCAUGUGAAGAGUGCGGCAUUGAGGAGACUCUCCUGCUGUCCCAAAGGGUUUCUGUUCUCCUGCACGGUCAGACCGUGGGGCCGGCUGGCAGAAUGGGGAAGAGCUGGUUGGUGAUGAGUCGGGGGAAUCACAAUAGAGGUGGCAGCAGCUGCAGAUCCUGGAGUCCCUGUGGUCGGGUUACCAUGCGUCUGGAGUUUCCCGGACAUGUCCGGCUUUUUGGGUUUUAAAUCGCCCUCUGGGAGGAAUUUGUAAAACUCUCCAAAGGGCCGGGAUUUCCCUCCCAAUGCAGCA